GGCUCCGCUCGACCGGCGGCUGGCAGCUGAGCGGGGUGGCCAGCUCUUCCUGCCCCUCCGCGGAUUCCAGCGUCAACAGGAAACCCUCUCGCCUGACCUUGAAACAAAGGGAGGAGGAACCUGUCCCGGAGUCGCAGCCGGAGCGGGACCGGCAGCUGCGGCUGGAGCCCGGCCCCCUUGGAGCGGAGCUCAGUUGGCCUCGGCGCCGCACGCUUCUGGCUCUCGCGCUCGCUCCAGCCGUACCGGAGCACGGAGGAUUUUCAGGGCGCUCCGUAAGGGACCUGUCAUUCGUCUGCGUUUGUCCAGGGCCGUGGAAUGGACGACGCCAAGAGUGAACUUCGGUGUCAGCCGUGGUCGGCGGGUGACAAAAGCUGCGGCAGUGUGGGUUCCUCAGUCGUAACAAGUGUAGCACCCUGUAAGGGAUGCUGAGGAGGGUGGAGCUAUGCAUGUGUGGGGCAAGGAGAGGUCUAUACUCUUAGCCAAAUUGUGUUAUGAACCCAAAACUCCUCUUCAAAAUAGUCUCAUCGCCGGGAAGGCUGAGGCAGGAGAAUCACGAAUUCAAGCCCCGCUUGCUUGAGCUACACGGGAACUCUUAUCUCAAAAUAAAUAAAAAAUAAGUAAACCUAAAAAUGAAGCCUAGCACCGUGGCACAGGCCUGUAAUCACAACAGUUUUGGGAGGCUGAAGCAGGAGGAUCACAAAUUCAAAGCCCAGUGUGUGCAAGUCAGCAAUUGAGUGAGAUCCUUUCUCAAAAGAAAAAAAAAGAAAAAAACUGGGUGUAGCUCAAUGCGAAGCCCCGGGCUCAAUCCUCAGUAUUGAAAAAUAAAGCUUAAUUUUUUUAAAGUAAUAAAUAGGACUGGAGGGAUACUUUCCUAGUAUGUUCAAGGCCCUGGGCUCAGUCCCCAGCACCGGAAAAAAAACCAAAUAAAUGAAUGAUUGACCAAGAAGUGGAGGAGGGUGGAUGUAUAAAGAGUUAAGAUGCACGUGUACCAACUGCCCAUAAUGAAUGUAAUCAUUGUGUACUGUACACAUAUGCUAAUAAAAACUUUUUAAUAUUUAAA